UGGCAGUGGGUGCCAUCGCAGACAAGUGGACCAACAUUUGUGGCAACCAGUACCCUAACGGAAUUCCUGCGCUGCGGAAGUGCGACACGUGCCUAACGGUUUGUCAAGUGGCAAAGACAAAGCAGAAUGAACAACAAAAACAACAAAACCACGUCUAAGCAGUAAAUAAAGUGAAGUGUUCCUUCCAAAGCAGCAACAACGGUGUAUAAGGUGUGUUUACUUUAAUCAAACGCAAAAGAGAGCA